AAAUGUGAUUUUGUGAUGCAAAUAACUGUGACUCAAAUGCUUAGUGCAGUAAAAAGCUUGAAAUAUACCAAAGCGAAAGUUUUCGAUUCGGAGAAAGUUUUAUUAGUGGAUUCAAAUAUAUUAAAAUUUAAAAGAGAAAAUCUGUAGGAGUUGUACUACGAGCAAUAAUUCCAAUUUUUCACUCACUUUCUAAUGGGAAAUUUAUACAAUAACAGCAAAUUAAUAAAUAAAUAACAAAAAACACUUUAAAUGAACAUGAAAGCCAUCGGGAAUUACGGGAAUAAAUAUUUGCAUUAAGUGAAAUAAAUACGGAACUUCAGCAAAUAAAAAAAAAUGUGCAAAAAAAGGUGUGAAUUUUGUUAUUUUUUUCAUAAAUAAUUUGAAGCUUACUUUGACAAAGUGUAAUUCUGCACCGCAGCCAAUAACUCAAUGAUUUUUUUACCAAAACUGCUGAAGCAUGCAAUGACAAAAUGAUUCAUGCAAAUAUUUACACUGGGAAAAAUAGUCGUGAAAUUGGUAGGAGCACUAAUCAAACAGAGCGUUCAGCGAAGCGAGGCCAAACAAAAAACAAACUCAUAACAACAACACUUUUUUAUUAAUCAAACAUAAGUUUAUUUAUGAAAUAAUAUUUCCUGUGCAAAUGUAAUGUAAUUACAAAUAAAAAAAACAAAAUUUUUUUAUUUCAUUUCACGAUGCUAGUCGCACU